GCAAAAUUGAAAUGUAAAAUGCCCGUUUUAAUUAAGCCUGUUUAUUGACAAUAGUGGUAAACGCAAGCUUCCAUUCAUGACCACUAUCACCGUCUUAAGUAGGAUAAGCUUAUAAACAUGAAAACAAUGAAUAACUUGACUUUAGAACAUUCGCAUAAUAACUUGCAAAUACGGCUGUUAUCAUGGAAGCUUCAUUGCUAAGAUUUAUAUUUAAGAAAGUAAGGAACUUAUAUUUUAUGAGGCAAUAGAAUAUUUACAAAAUGUGCACAAAAUAUUUUGAACAGUGUCAUUCAUUGGAUAAAAACAUAAUAACAAAAUUUAUAUUUUCCUUCUUCCGCCUAAUGUGAUAGUUUGUGAUGAGCGUUUAGAGAGUAGGACUAUAUAUUUUAUGUCUGUUAGAAAAGAAUGAAGUAAACAUCUUUACAAACUAAAAGAAUGAAGCCUACUAGUAUUUCAUUUCAAAUAUGUUGGGUAUUCAUCUUCGCUGUAUCUGCCAUCAGUAGGUCACAUUCCUUGGAGUGUUUCAGUUGUACUGAUGCUGUAAAUUUACGCGAAUGUAAAUCAGUGGAAAAAUGCGAGGAAGGUCAGGU